AUUGAACGCUGGCGGCAGGCUUAACACAUGCAAGUCGAGCGGUAGCACAAGAGAGCUUGCUCUCUGGGUGACGAGCGGCGGACGGGUGAGUAAUGUCUGGGAAACUGCCUGAUGGAGGGGGAUAACUACUGGAAACGGUAGCUAAUACCGCAUAACGUCGCAAGACCAAAGAGGGGGACCUUCGGGCCUCUUGCCAUCAGAUGUGCCCAGAUGGGAUUAGCUAGUAGGUGGGGUAAUGGCUCACCUAGGCGACGAUCCCUAGCUGGUCUGAGAGGAUGACCAGCCACACUGGAACUGAGACACGGUCCAGACUCCUACGGGAGGCAGCAGUGGGGAAUAUUGCACAAUGGGCGCAAGCCUGAUGCAGCCAUGCCGCGUGUGUGAAGAAGGCCUUCGGGUUGUAAAGCACUUUCAGCGAGGAGGAAGGUGGUGAACUUAAUACGUUCAUCAAUUGACGUUACUCGCAGAAGAAGCACCGGCUAACUCCGUGCCAGCAGCCGCGGUAAUAUGGAGGGUGCAAGCGUCAAUCGGAAUUACUGGGGGUUAAAGCGCACGCAGGCGGUUUGUUAGUCAGAUGUGAAAUCCCCGGGCUCCACCCUGGGAACUGCAUUUGAAACUGGCAAGCUAGAGUCUCGUAGAGGGGGGUAGAAUUCCAGGUGUAGCGGUGAAAUGCGUAGAGAUCUGGAGGAAUACCGGUGGCGAAGGCGGCCCCCUGGACGAAGACUGACGCUCAGGUGCGAAAGCGUGGGGAGCAAACAGGAUUAGAUACCCUGGUAGUCCACGCUGUAAACGAUGUCGAUUUGGAGGUUGUGCCCUUGAGGCGUGGCUUCCGGAGCUAACGCGUUAAAUCGACCGCCUGGGGAGUACGGCCGCAAGGUUAAAACUCAAAUGAAUUGACGGGGGCCCGCACAAGCGGUGGAGCAUGUGGUUUAAUUCGAUGCAACGCGAAGAACCUUACCUACUCUUGACAUCCAGAGAACUUUCCAGAGAUGGAUUGGUGCCUUCGGGAACUCUGAGACAGGUGCUGCAUGGCUGUCGUCAGCUCGUGUUGUGAAAUGUUGGGUUAAGUCCCGCAACGAGCGCAACCCUUAUCCUUUGUUGCCAGCGGUUCGGCCGGGAACUCAAAGGAGACUGCCAGUGAUAAACUGGAGGAAGGUGGGGAUGACGUCAAGUCAUCAUGGCCCUUACGAGUAGGGCUACACACGUGCUACAAUGGCAUAUACAAAGAGAAGCGACCUCGCGAGAGCAAGCGGACCUCAUAAAGUAUGUCGUAGUCCGGAUUGGAGUCUGCAACUCGACUCCAUGAAGUCGGAAUCGCUAGUAAUCGUAGAUCAGAAUGCUACGGUGAAUACGUUCCCGGGCCU
rnacentral:rRNA from 1 species